GCCAGACUCCUACGGGAGGCAGCAGUGGGGAAUAUUGCACAAUGGGGGGAACCCUGAUGCAGCGACGCCGCGUGGGUGAAGGAGCACCUCGGUGCGUAAAGCCCUAUCGGCAGGGAAGAAACAGACGGUACCUGACUAAGAAGCCCCGGCUAACUACGUGCCAGCAGCCGCGGUAAUACGUAGGGGGCAAGCGUUAUCCGGAUUUACUGGGUGUAAAGGGGGGGCAGACGGCAGCGCAAGCCAGGAGUGAAAGCCCGGGGCCCAACCCCGAGACUGCUCUUGGAACUGGGCGGCUGGAGUGCAGGAGGGGCAGGCGGAAUUCCUGGUGUAGCGGUGAAAUGCGUAGAUAUCAGGAGGAACACCGGUGGCGAGGGCGGCCUGCUGGACUGCGACUGACGUUGAGGCCCGAAAGCGUGGGGAGCAAACAGGAUUAGAUACCCGAGUAA
rnacentral:rRNA from 1 species